ACAUACGACCAUACCCACUGGAAAACUCGGGAUCCCGUCCGCUCUCCCAUAGAUAAGCUAAUGAGGGCUGGAUUAGUAGUUGGGUCGGUGACGACCAGCGAAUACCUGGUGUUGUAUGUC
rfam:Colletotrichum orchidophilum strain IMI 309357 Scaffold_28.1, whole genome shotgun sequence.